rnacentral:rRNA from 1 species
UACAGAGGGGGCAAGCGUUAUUCGGAAUUAUUGGGCGUAAAGGGCGCGUAGGCGGCUUUUCAAGUGGCGGGUGAAAGCCCUCGGCUUAACCGAGGAACUGCCUGCCAGACUGGAUCGCUUGAGACCGGGAGAGGUGAGUGGAAUUCCCAGUGUAGCGGUGAAAUGCGUAGAUAUUGGGAGGAACACCAGUGGCGAAGGCGGCUCACUGGACCGGUACUGACGCUGAGGCGCGAAAGCGUGGGGAGCAAACAGG